UAGGGAAUCUUCGGCAAUGGACGAAAGUCUGACUGAGCAACGCCGCGUGAGUGAAGAAGGUUUUCGGAUCGUAAAACUCUGUUGGUAGAGAAGAACGUUGGUGAGAGUGGAAAGCUCAUCAAGUGACGGUAACUACCCAGAAAGGGACGGCUAACUACGUGCCGG
rnacentral:rRNA from 1 species